GGCUUGAUGGUCUACGGGUACGAUUCUAAUUUUGGGUGACAGUGGUCCCGGGUUGAAAUCCCUGAUGAGCCC